GAAGAAACUACUGACUGACAGCUUUUCACAUCACAGCCACUACAAGAAAAAUCAAUGUGUGUCCCCACCACAACCAGAGCACACCAAUUUCAAAACACCCCUGUUGAGCAACAGCAUCACCAACUUCCCCAACCAGAGGUCAGCUGGGCUGGCUGAGAUCUUUCCUGUCUUGGAGAUGUGUCCCUGCCUCCAAGCAGCCAGGUCCCUUUUGACCCAGCUUCACUGGGUUAUGAAUAUCACAGCACUGGGCGGGAACUGGGGCUGGGGGUGUGGUGGGCUGAGCAGGGAGGGCUCUCCUGGACCCCAGCUGCCACAGGCAGCAGGUUGGCUGUGGUUGGAGGGGCCACUUUUGUCAGCUGGCCAAGGGCUGGUUAGAAAUCCAGGGAUGAGCAGCUGAAGUGUUUGGUAGGGGAGGCCCUGACAGCAAAGCUAGAACCGAAUCCACCCAAAGGCCACUGCCACCAGGUUUCCCACGGGGCUCAGGAAUCAGUAGCAGAAAUGUUGGUGACGAAGGCUAAAGGAAGUGUGUGUCCCUGGAUGGUGCAGUCUGCUAGCAGAUAAAAGGAGACCUUAUUCAUUAUAGGUAUUACCAGGUGCCCGGCAGGGCUGGUGGACACAGACAAGGCCGUGAGUGAAGGCUGAAGGCUGGACCUGGAUGGAGACAGCAUCGGGGAUGUCUGAAACAUCAUGGGUCCUAUCUAGCAGCUUGGGUAGACAGGGUGAUGUUUCCUACCUUAACCAGCUCACCACCAAGCUCACUGGAUGGUUCUGCCUCGCUCCUGCAGCCUUUGAGAGCCCCUGUUGGCCUGGGUAAGUCUGGCUCAUCCUGUUUCUCCACAGAACCUCUUCUGCUGCUUUAUUCGUGAGAAGCCUAGCACGUGGCUGACUUUGGCGACCAGCAAGCUUCCUAGGGCAAACUCUCACCCAGCUCUGGUGGGGAUCAAGCACUCAGGCCUUAGGGAUGGCUCGCAGCCUAGACCAGUCCAGUCAAAAUCGCUUGUCACUCCCCUCUGCCCACACUGACUGGUUCAGAUGUGGGCAUGUGUGCUGGGCACAGCCGGUCAGAAUCCUCCCACAGAUUGACACAUGGACCCUGGAAGAGCCUUCCUGUGGGAGCCUGAGCUGUGAGGACUUGGGGUUCCAUAGCCAUGCUUCCCUGGGGCUUGAGAGCCUGGUGUGCAUCUCAGUACCACUGGAGAGGCAAGGAAAGGCGGAUAUGGAAAGAACAGACCCUGGAUGAUGUCGUCUUGCCUGAAAUCAUUAUGACUCAGACUGCCCCGAUACAGGGCCCUCGAUCUUUCUCUCUUCCCAUUUAGGAUCACAUGGAAUGGGCUUUUUUUCCCCUCAUACCCAACAGUCUUGACUGGUAUAGCAGCUGGAUCUUUGGUGAGGGGUCCCUAUUUUGAACACUAUGUGGCAGUGGAAGGAAUCUGUCUUAAGGAGAUCCCAUGGUUUUGGUGUGAGAUAGUCCUGUGGUCUGCUGUGAUUUCAGAGAUUUAUUCAUAACUGGGCACUUGGAGAGAGGCGACAAAUGCGAGGAGCUUGGAGUCAUCAAACAAAAUCCCUGGAGGAUAGUGCUGAGCUCAGCCCCAGCCACCAGGAGAGAGAGCUGAGCAGGCGCAGGAAGAGUGAGGGCCAGCCUGGGCAGCAGGACCCGGUGAAGAAGGCCCAGGUGAGGAGAGGCCAGGCCAGGGGCCAGGAUGGCGUCUGUCUCCCCCACCCUCCAUCCACCCAUUUUGCAUGCGAGGCGGCAUGCCACCUGCCGAGGUGACAACAGAGGGUCCAAUGACGUUGUUCCAGCCCUCACAGUGUCUAGCGGAGAAGAGAGAGAUUAGGGAAGCAGCUGAAGAGCAGAAAUUCAUGGUGGCAUGGAGCAAGCGAUAGGAGUACCUCACCGUCAGGGGGUUGAGGGAGGCUUCCUUGAAGAAGUGAUAUUUAAAUCCACGUAGAUAUGAACGCUUAGAUGUAAGAACCAUGUUUGAAUCUACAUCUUGUAGGACAAAAAUGGGCAGCAGCACAAUCACAGUGUGUGGUCAUUCUCAGAUCCCACGCCUGACAUAUAGAACACAUUUAGCAAUUGUAGCUAUUGCAAAUACCCAUGAUUUCUGGAUUAAGCAGAGAAGGGCUGCUAACUGCCACUUGUUCUCAUGUUAAUAAUUUUGUCUCCUGUUUUGAUCGAAAAGGAUGGAGGUGUCUGGAAUGUAGAUAUGCAGAUGGUGAAAAAGAGGGUGACCACUUUUGUUUGGGAGGCCCCUUAGUUUCUGCAGCUGUCCGGUGAACAUGCAUUGAUUGAGUGGCCACCCAGCCGUGCAAACUCUUUGUCCUGGUCUCUGAAAACAUGUCUUUGAUUCCAUGUAAACAGUCCUCUAGCCACUUUUUUGAUAAUAAGCCAUAUGUGGUCAGGAGCUAUCUAUUUUCAGUCUAAUUAAACAAACUGCAGAUAUUUAUUAAGUGCCAACUAUGUGCCAAGGCUGGUCCAGGCACUAAAGACAGGGGGACGGAAGGCAUAUCGCUGCAAGAGUCCUGGGAGGAAGAGAGGCAAGUGAGGUAGGUUCACUGCAGGGAGUGACAGAUUUUUGGAAUGCUGGAGAAGCAGAGGAAGGAGGGGUUGAUUCUUCCUGGGGAAGGGGCUAAGGCGUAGCCACAAGCAGAUGUGACUUUCAAGGAGGUGGACAUCCCUAAGGUGGCAACAGUAUUCCUAGUUAGACACCCUGUGGCCAAAGUCUGGAGAUUUCAGUGGCCUCCUUGGCUUGUGUGGGGGCUUUUUUAGGAAGAGGAGGAAAUCAGACUGGAGCAGCAGAUGGUGUGGACGGUUAGCAGAGUCUGGACUAUGACGGUAAGGAGAUCCUGACAGGUUUGAGUCAGGAUUUGAGGUGAGUAGAGGGCAUUCUGGAAAGAUGACGUGGAUGUGUGAGGAGUGGACCAGGCAAGCUGGGGUUGAAGGACAGCGGGGGCUAUAGAAACAGCUCUGAUGAGACGUAGUGUUGGCCUGAGCCAGUUGGAUGGCAGGUGAGGGUUUCCAGGAGGUUUGGAUGGAAGUUGGCCAGAUGUUCCAAGAGAUCAGACGUGAGGCUGGAGGAAUCGAGGUGCUGACAGGUCCAAGUGCAUUUCAUCCACUUACCUGGGGCAUGUGUCCCCUCUGCUUUUCC
rnacentral:lncRNA from 1 species